UACGGAGGGGGCUAGCGUUGUUCGGAAUUACUGGGCGUAAAGCGCGUGUAGGCGGCUAUGUAAGUCGGGCGUGAAAUCCCACGGCUCAACCGUGGAAGUGCACUCGAAACUGCAUAGCUAGAGUCCUGGAGAGGAAGGUGGAAUGCUUGGUGUAGAGGUGAAAUUCGUAGAUAUCAAGCGGAACACCGGUGGCGAAGGCGGCCUUCUGGACAGUGACUGACGCUGAGACGCGAAAGCGUGGGGAGCAAACAGG
rnacentral:rRNA from 1 species